rnacentral:rRNA from 2 species
CUCGUCACACUAUCAUUAACUGAAUCCAUAGGUUAAUGAGGCGAACCGGGGGAACUGAAACAUCUAAGUACCCCGAGGAAAAGAAAUCAACCGAGAUUCCCUCAGUAGCGGCGAGCGAACGGGGAGGAGCCCAGAGCCUGAAUCAGCAUGUGUGUUAGUGGAAGCGUCUGGAAAGGCGCGCGAUACAGGGUGACAGCCCCGUACACAAAAGCGCAUAUGCUGUGAGCUCGAUGAGUAGGGCGGGACACGUGGUAUCCUGUCUGAAUAUGGGGGGACCAUCCUCCAAGGCUAAAUACUCCUGACUGACCGAUAGUGAACCAGUACCGUGAGGGAAAGGCGAAAAGAACCCCGGUGAGGGGAGUGAAAAAGAACCUGAAACCGUGUACGUACAAGCAGUGGGAGCACCCUUUGGGGUGUGACUGCGUACCUUUUGUAUAAUGGGUCAGCGACUUAUAUUCUGUAGCAAGGUUAACCG